UGAUGAAAGUUCACAUCCCCCUAUGCCUCUGAGAAUGAUGUGGAAUGAUUGGCCUUGCUGACA
rnacentral:snoRNA from 1 species